GUGAGAUUCAGGGAGGAGCUCAGACGUCACUGAACUAUAGAAGAGAUGAACUUCUACAUUCAACAGAGUUCAAUAUACGAAGCAUCAACAUCACCUUCAUUCAACAUGCUGUCACCACUGAUGUUUCUAGUUAUUCUACAAGGAUUCAGCUGUGAAGAACUCACACCAGUGAAGACAGAAGAAAACAGUGUAGAAAACACGACUGUUACUCUGUCCUACAUUUACUCCAGUCAGGCAGCUGGUGGUGAUUAUUUCUUCUGGUAUCGACAAUAUCCAGGAAAACCACCAGAGUUCCUCAUCUCCCACUCUGCUACGGGGACUGUAGGAAUACAUAGAAUCCAUCGACUGAUGAUCAAAGUGGAUGGAAACCGAAUCAGUCUGAAGAUCCCGUCUGCUACAGUGUCAGACUCUGCUGUGUACUACUGUGCUGUGAGGCCCACAGUGACAGGAAACACCAAGACUCUGUACAAGAACCUCUGGAGCAAAGACAACUCUGUACACCAUCCACCAGAGGGAGUCUCCAUCUGAAUAAGUUGUUCAACCCAG